rnacentral:rRNA from 1 species
AUUGAACGCUGGCGGCAUGCCUUACACAUGCAAGUCGAACGGCAGCACGGGAGCAAUCCUGGUGGCGAGUGGCGAACGGGUGAGUAAUAUAUCGGAACGUGCCCAGUCGUGGGGAUAACGUAGCGAAAGCUACGCUAAUACCGCAUACGAUCUAUGGAUGAAAGCGGGGGAUCGCAAGACCUCGCGCGAUUGGAGCGGCCGAUAUCAGAUUAGGUAGUUGGUGAGGUAAAGGCUCACCAAGCCGACGAUCUGUAGCUGGUCUGAGAGGACGACCAGCCACACUGGGACCUGAGACACGGCCCAGACUCCUACGGGAGGCAGCAGUGGGAAUUUGGACAAUGGCGCAAGCCUGAUCCAGCAAUGCCGCGUCGCAGGAUGAA